UCUCCAGUAGCUCAGUGGUAGAGCGAGUGGCUGUUAACCAUUAUGUCGUUGGUUCAAAUCCGACCUGGGGAG
rnacentral:tRNA from 1 species